AAACUGUUGCCUCGGCGGGGUCACGCCCCGGGUGCGUCGCAGCCCCGGAACCAGGCGCCCGCCGGAGGAACCAACCAAACUCUUUCUGUAGUCCCCUCGCGGACGUAUUUCUUACAGCUCUGAGCAAAAAUUCAAAAUGAAUCAAAACUUUCAACAACGGAUCUCUUGGUUCUGGCAUCGAUGAAGAACGCAGCGAAAUGCGAUAAGUAAUGUGAAUUGCAGAAUUCAGUGAAUCAUCGAAUCUUUGAACGCACAUUGCGCCCGCCAGUAUUCUGGCGGGCAUGCCUGUCCGAGCGUCAUUUCAACCCUCGAACCCCUCCGGGGGAUCGGCGUUGGGGAUCGGGACCCCUCACACGGGUGCCGGCCCCUAAAUACAGUGGCGGUCUCGCCGCAGCCUCUCCUGCGCAGUAGUUUGCACAACUCGCACCGGGAGCGCGGCGCGUCCACGUCCGUAAAACACCCAACUUUCUGAAAUGUUGACCUCGGAUCAGGUAGGAAUACCCGCUGAACUUAAGCAUAUCAAUAAGCCGGAGGAAAA
rnacentral:rRNA from 1 species